GCUCCGAUGGCGGAAUCGGUAGACGCGCUGGUCUCAAACACCAGUAGGGAAACCUGUGCCGGUUCGACCCCGGCUCGGAGUACAA
rnacentral:tRNA from 1 species